rnacentral:sRNA from 1 species
GCGGAGGAAAAGAAACCAACAGGGAUUGCCCUAGUAACGGCGAGUGAAGCGGCAACAGCUCAAAUUUGAAAUCUGGCUCUUUUAGGGUCCGAGUUGUAAUUUGCAGAGGGCGCUUUGGCGUUGGCAGCGGUCCAAGUUCCUUGGAACAGGACGUCACAGAGGGUGAGAAUCCCGUACGUGGUCGCUGGCCUUCGCCGUGUAAAGCCCCUUCGACGAGUCGAGUUGUUUGGGAAUGCAGCUCUAAAUGGGAGGUAAAUUUCUUCUAAAGCUAAAUACUGGCCAGAGACCGAUAGCGCACAAGUAGAGUGAUCGAAAGAUGAAAAGCACUUUGGAAAGAGAGUCAAAUAGCACGUGAAAUUGUUGAAAGGGAAGCGCUUGCAGCCAGACUUGCCUGUAGUUGCUCAUCCGGGCUUUUGCCCGGUGCACUCUUCUGCGGGCAGGCCAGCAUCAGUUUGGGCGGUUGGAUAAAGGUCUCUGUCAUGUACCUCCUUUCGGGGAGGCCUUAUAGGGGAGACGACAUGCAACCAGCCUGGACUGAGGUCCGCGCAUUUUGCUAGGAUGCUGGCGUAAUGGCUGUAAGCGGCCCGUCUUGAAACACGGACCAAGGAGUCUAACAUCUAUGCGAGUGUUUGGGUGUCAAGCCCGAGCGCGCAAUGAAAGUGAACGGAGGUGGGAACCCUUUAGGGUGCACCAUCGACCGAUCCUGAUGUCUUCGGAUGGAUUUGAGUAAGAGCAUGGCUGUUGGGACCCGAAAGAUGGUGAACUAUGCUUGAAUAGGGUGAAGCCAGAGGAAACUCUGGUGGAGGCUCGCAGCGGUUCUGACGUGCAAAUCGAUCGUCAAAUUUGGGCAUAGGGGCGAAAGACUAAUCGAACUAUCUAGUAGCUGGUCCUGC